AGAGUUUGAUCCUGGCUCAGGAUGAACGCUGGCGGCGUGCUUUAAGUAUGCAAGAGGAACGAUCCCGAUUUAUCGGGAAAGUCGCGAACGGCUGAGUAAAAGAUAGGAAUCUACCCUUUGGCGGGGAAUACCUUGGAGAAAUUCAGGUUAAUACCGCAUAAGACCUACGGGUGAAAGCGCGUAACUGCGCACCAAAGGAGGAGCCUGUCAUCUAUCAUGCUUGUUGGUGAGGUAAAGGCUCACCAAGGCUACGACGGAUAGGGGGCGUGAGAGCGUGACCCCCCAGAAUGGCACUGAGACACGGGCCAUACACCUACGGGUGGCGCAGCUGGGAAUCCUCCGCAAUGGACGAAAGUCUGACGGGGCGACGCCGCGUGAGGGAUGAAGGCUUUUGGGUUGUAAACCUCUUUUGGUUGGUCCGAGAGGACCAGCAGAAUAAGCACCGGCUAACUACGUGCCAGCAGCAGCGGUAAUACGUAGGGUGCAAGCGUUAUCCGGAGUCAUUGGGCGUAAAGAGUUUGUAGGCGUCUUGUCACAUCUUGUUUUAAAGACCAGAGCUUAACUUUGGGAAGGGACAAGAGAUGGACAGGAUUGAGAAUUUCCGGGGCUAUUGGAACUAUCCAUGUAGGGGUGAAAUCCGUUGAUAUGGAUAGGAACUCCGAGGGCGAAGGCGGAUAGCUAGGAAAAUUCUGACGCUGAGAAACGAAAGCUAGGGUAGCGAAAGGGAUUAGAGACCCCUGUAGUCCUAGCCGUAAACGAUGCUCGCUAGCUGGUGGGAUUUAUCUCAUCGGCGUAAGCUAACGCGUGAAGCGAGCCGCCUGGGGAGUACGGUCGCAAGACUAAAACUCAAAGGAAUUGACGGGGACCUGCACAACCAGUGGAGCAUGUGGUUUAAUUCGAGACAAACCGAAGAACCUUACCUGGGUUUGACAUCCUAUUGUUAAUGCCCUCGCAGAGAUGCUUGGGAAUCAUAUUUAUGUGAAUGGUAGGACAGGUGUUGCAUGGCUGUCGUCAGCUCGUGCCGUGGGGUGUUCCCUUCAGUGGGGUAACGAGCGCAACCCCUGCCGUAUGUUGUAUUUCAUACGGGACUACUCGCCUUAGGCGAGAGGAAGUGGGGACGACGUCAAGUCAGCAUGACCCUUAUAUCCAGGGCGACACACAUGCUACAAUGGAGCCGACAAUGGGUUGCCAAGCAGUAAUGCGGAGCUAAUCCCAUCAAACGGCUUCUCAGUGGGGAUUGAGGGCUGCAACUCGCCCUCAUGAACGAGGAAUUGGUAGUAAUCGCGGAUCAGCCAAGCCGCGGUGAAUACGUUCUCAGGUCUUGUACACACCGCCCGUCAAGUGAGCGAAGUUGGGGGUACCCGAAGGCCAAUUGAUUGGUCGAAGGUAAAUCCAGCGACGAGCACUAAGUCGUAACAAGGUAACC
rnacentral:rRNA from 1 species